UACGUAGGGCGCAAGCGUUGUCCGGAAUUAUUGGGCGUAAAGAGCUCGUAGGCGGCCUGUUACGUCUGCUGUGAAAUCCCGGGGCUUAACCCCGGGCGUGCAGUGGAUACGGGCAGGCUGGAGGCAGGCAGGGGAGAACGGAAUUCCCGGUGUAGCGGUGAAAUGCGCAGAUAUCAGGAAGAACACCCGUGGCGAAAGCGGCUCUCUGGAACGGUACUGACGCUGAGACGCGAAAGCGUGGGGAGCGAACAGG
rnacentral:rRNA from 1 species